GAUGAACGCUGGCGGCGUGCCUAAUACAUGCAAGUCGAGCGAACAGACGAGGAGCUUGCUCCUCUGACGUUAGCGGCGGACGGGUGAGUAACACGUGGAUAACCUACCUAUAAGACUGGGAUAACUUCGGGAAACCGGAGCUAAUACCGGAUAAUAUAUUGAACCGCAUGGUUCAAUAGUGAAAGACGGUUUUGCUGUCACUUAUAGAUGGAUCCGCGCCGCAUUAGAUAGUUGGUAAGGUAACGGCUUACCAAGGCAACGAUGCGUAGCCGACCUGAGAGGGUGGUCGGCCACACUGGAACUGAGACACGGUCCAGACUCCUACGGGAGGCAGCAGUAGGGAAUCUUCCGCAAUGGGCGAAAGCCUGACGGAGCAACGCCGCGUGAGUGAUGAAGGUCUUCGGAUCGUAAAACUCUGUUAUUAGGGAAGAACAAAUGUGUAAGUAACUAUGCACGUCUUGACGGUACCUAAUCAGAAAGCCACGGCUAACUACGUG
rnacentral:rRNA from 1 species